rnacentral:rRNA from 1 species
GAUGAACGCUAGCUACAGGCUUAACACAUGCAAGUCGAGGGGCAGCAUGAACUUAGCUUGCUAAGUUUGAUGGCGACCGGCGCACGGGUGAGUAACACGUAUCCAACCUGCCGAUGACUCGGGGAUAGCCUUUCGAAAGAAAGAUUAAUACCCGAUGGCAUAGUUCUUCCGCAUGGUAGAACUAUUAAAGAAUUUCGGUCAUCGAUGGGGAUGCGUUCCAUUAGGUUGUUGGCGGGGUAACGGCCCACCAAGCCUUCGAUGGAUAGGGGUUCUGAGAGGAAGGUCCCCCACAGUGGGACUGGGACACGGUCCAAACUCCUACGGGAGGCAGCAGUGAGGAAUACUGGUCAAUGGACGAGAGUCUGAACCAGCCAAGUAGCGUGAAGGAUGACUGCCCUAUGGGUUGUAAACUUCUUUUAUACGGGAAUAAAGUGAGGCACGUGUGCCUUUUUGUAUGUACCGUAUGAAUAAGGAUCGGCUAACUCCGUG